rnacentral:rRNA from 1 species
CCUACGGGAGACAGCAGUGAGGAAUAUUGGUCAAUGGGCGGGAGCCUGAACCAGCCAAGUCGCGUGAAGGAAGAAGGCGCCAUGCGUCGUAAACUUCUUUUGUCUGGGAACAAAGUGCGCCACGCGUGGCGUUUUGAGUGUACCCUAUGAAUAAGCAUCGGCUAACUCCGUGCCAGCAGCCGCGGUAAUACGGAGGAUGCGAGCGUUAUCCGGAUUUAUUGGGUUUAAAGGGUGCGUAGGCGGUCUGUAAAGUCAGCGGUAAAAGCCCGGGGCUCAACCCCGGCGAGCCGUUGAAACUGUAGGACUAGAGAAGGAGAGAGGUAGGCGGAAUGCGUGGUGUAGCGGUGAAAUGCAUAGAUAUCGCGUAGAACUCCGAUUGCGAAGGCAGCGUACCGGAGCGGGACUGACGCUGAGGCACGAAAGUGUGGGUAUCAAACAGGAUUAGAUACCCCAGUAGUC